UACGUAGGGUGCGAGCGUUGUCCGGAAUUACUGGGCGUAAAGAGCUCGUAGGUGGUUUGUCGCGUUUGUUCGUGAAAACCGGGGGCUUAACCCUCGGCGUGCGGGCGAUACGGGCAGACUUGAGUACUGCAGGGGAGACUGGAAUUCCUGGUGUAGCGGUGGAAUGCGCAGAUAUCAGGAGGAACACCGGUGGCGAAGGCGGGUCUCUGGGCAGUAACUGACGCUGAGGAGCGAAAGCGUGGGGAGCGAACAGG
rnacentral:rRNA from 1 species